rnacentral:rRNA from 1 species
GAUGAACGCUGGCGGCGUGCCUAAUACAUGCAAGUCGAGCGAACAGACGAGGAGCUUGCUCCUCUGACGUUAGCGGCGGACGGGUGAGUAACACGUGGAUAACCUACCUAUAAGACUGGGAUAACUUCGGGAAACCGGAGCUAAUACCGGAUAAUAUAUUGAACCGCAUGGUUCAAUAGUGAAAGACGGUUUUGCUGUCACUUAUAGAUGGAUCCGCGCCGCAUUAGCUAGUUGGUAAGGUAACGGCUUACCAAGGCGACGAUGCGUAGCCGACCUGAGAGGGUGAUCGGCCACACUGGAACUGAGACACGGUCCAGACUCCUACGGGAGGCAGCAGUAGGGAAUCUUCCGCAAUGGGCGAAAGCCUGACGGAGCAACGCCGCGUGAGUGAUGAAGGUCUUCGGAUCGUAAAACUAUGUUAUUAGGGAAGAACAAAUGUGUAAGUAACUAUGCACGUCUUGACGGUACCUAAGCAGAAAGCCACGGCUAACUACGU